UGCAGGACACAUGAACAUCGACAUUUUGAACGCAAAUGGCGGCCCUUGACUUGUCUUGGGCCACUCCUGGCUGAGGGUCGG
rnacentral:rRNA from 1 species